rnacentral:rRNA from 1 species
GUGUGGUACCCCUCGAGCGUGCGAUGCAUUCGCCGCCACGUCUGGGGACCUGCCGACCUCAACCCCCAAANCCACUAGAAGUUGACCUCGGAUCAGGCGGGGAUACCCGCUGAACUUAAGCAUAUCAAUAAGCGGAGGAAAAGAAACCAACUGGGAUUGCCUCAGUAACGGCGGGUGAAGCGGCAACAGCUCAAAUUUGAAAUCUGGCGUCCCCCGGGUGCCCGAGUUGUAAUUUGAAGAGGAUGCUUCGCGGAGGGUGCCGCCNCAAGUUCCCUGGGACGGGACGCUGCAGAGGGUGAGAGCCCCGUAUGCGGGCGGCGGCCCGACGCUUGUGAAGCCCCUUCGACGAGUCGAGUUGUUUGGGAAUGCAGCUCCAAUCGGGAGGUAAAUUUCUUCUAAGGCUAAAUACCGGCCGGAGACCGAUAGCGCACAAGUAGAGUGAUCGAAAGAUGAAAAGCACUUUGAAAAGAGAGUCAAACAGCACGUGAAAUUGUUGAAAGGGAAGCGCUCGCAACCAGACUCGACCCGCGCGGAUCAGCCGCCUCUCCAGGCGGCGCACUCUGCGCGGGCCGGGCCAGCGUCGGUUCCGGCGGCCGGAUAAAGGCGGCGGGAAUGUAGCUCCCUCCGGGGAGUGUUAUAGCCCGCCGUGGAAUGCGACCAGCCGGGACCGAGGACCGCGCUUCGGCUAGGACGCUGGCGUAAUGGUUGUGAGCGGCC